GCCUUGUGAAGCAGAUGUUGGAACCUGAUCCCACUAAGCGUUCGACUCCUCAGCAAGUAUUUGUGUAUCCUUUUGCAGGAAGAGCAACGGGUUAUAGAAACCAAAAUAAGGAUAAGGCAUAAGGAAAUGCAGGCUGAUGAAGAGAAAAUGCAGAAACGUCUGGAAUCAUGUUCCUCUAGCACAAGCGCAAUGACUGGCGAAAUGGAAUAUGGUUCAGCUUCAUGUCGGUUUAUUUGCCCUGCCAGAACGUAUCAGGAACAAAUGGUGUCACAAAGGCAGUUUUGAUAGACUUUGUUUUUAAAUUAGAGAAAGAAGAGAUACCAUCAUUGUUUUGGACCAUGCACCUAAAAGGGUAUGUAUCAUCUCAUCUGAUACCAUUUUUUCUAUUCAUUGGAUAUAUCUAUUUAUUUAGUCGACAUUCAUGGCCUGA